rnacentral:rRNA from 1 species
UCAGGCCUAACACAUGCAAGUCGAGCGAGAAGGUUAUGAUGGAUUCUUCGGAUGACAGAUUAACUGGAAAGCGGCGGACGGGUGAGUAACGCGUGGGUAACCUGCCCCAUACACAGGGAUAGCCAUUGGAAACGAUGAUUAAUACCUGAUAAUACAUAUGAAUCGCAUGAUUUGAAUGUCAAAGAUUUAUCGGUAUGGGAUGGACCCGCGUCUGAUUAGCUAGUUGGUAAGGUAAUGGCUUACCAAGGCGACGAUCAGUAGCCGACCUGAGAGGGUGAUCGGCCACACUGGAACUGAGACACGGUCCAGACUCCUACGGGAGGCAGCAGUGGGGAAUAUUGCACAAUGGGCGCAAGCCUGAUGCAGCAACGCCGCGUGAACGAAGAAGGCUUUCGGGUCGUAAAGUUCUUUUCUUAGGGAAGAAAGAUGACGGUACCUAAGGAAUAAGCACCGGCUAAAUACGUGCCAGCAGCCGCGGUAAUACGUAUGGUGCAAGCGUUAUCCGGAAUCACUGGGCGUAAAGGGUACGUAGGCGGUGAUGCAAGUCAGAAGUGAAAGGCUACGGCUCAACCGUAGUAAGCUUUUGAAACUGCAUGACUAGAGUUCAGGAGAGGUAAGUGGAAUUCCUAGUGUAGAGGUGAAAUUCGUAGAUAUUAGGAGGAACACCAGUGGCGAAGGCGACUUACUGGACUGAUACUGA